UACAAACUUUAGCCCUUUGGGAAUCACACCAUUGUAAGUUCUGUAUAUGGCGCCAAAUGCUCCAAAACUUCCAACCUAUCCGUAAAAAAAAAAAAAAAACCACAUAACCCAGGAAACUGUUAACAGGACCCAGAACCCAGAUGGCUCUCGUCAGAGUCCCCUCUUCUUUCCCUUCCAUUCUCCCUUCAGUCUUUCCGAAGAAACUCUUGUCAGUUUCUUCCUCCUUUCCCAUUUCUUGCUCUUCAAAAUCUACUCCCAAUCAAGUCAAAAAUAAUGAUGAUAACAGUAAUAUUGAUAAUCCCAAGGGACCCAAGAGAUUGUCAGAGCAGUCUUCCUGGCAAGCCAAAGAUUCAGAAGGGAGAGAUUAUCUUUACAGGCUUGGCAAAGAAGCUGAUAACAUGAACAUAGCCGUUGGUGCUAGAGCUGGUGUCAUUGAUGAUCUUUUUGCUGGGAAUUUUCUUGGCAGAGACUGCAGAAGGUGACGAGGUCAUUUGAGUAUCUACAAGGGGAUUAUUACAUCGCUCCUGCAUUCAUGGAUAAAGUUGUAUGCCACAUCGUGAAGAACUUCCUUGCUCAUCUUCUCAAUGUGAAAAUUCCUUUGAUUCUAGGUAUCUGGGGAGGAAAAGGACAAGGAAAAUCAUUCCAAACUGAACUCAUUUUUCAGGCUAUGGGGAUUGAACCUGUAAUUAUGUCUGCUGGGGAACUAGAAUCUGAAAGGGCUGGAGAACCAGGAAAACUGAUACGCGAACGCUAUAGAACAGCUU